GGCAAGUGGGGGCGAUGGGCCGUGGUAAUACAGGGCUGGGAAGCGGUAAUCGGGAUGGGUGGGAGGAAAGCGUGCGCAGACGGUCUCGGAAGGCGGGUGUGAAAGCCCCGGGCUGAACCUGGGAAUUGCAUUCGAAACUGCGAGGCUAGGGUACGGAAGAGGGAAGCGGAAUUUCUGGUGUAGCGGUGAAAUGCGUAGAUAUCAGAAGGAACAUCAGUGGCGAAAGCGGCUUCCUGGUCCAGUACCGACGUUCAGGCACGAAAGCGUGGGGAGCAAACAGGAUUAGAUACUCCAGUAGUC
rnacentral:rRNA from 1 species